ACUUUGACUGUGCUAAGGUAGCAUAAUAAAUUGGCUUUUAAUUGGAGUCUGGAAUCAAUGGAACCAUGGAUAAAUUCUGUCUUUUAUUAAUUUUAUAAAAUUUACUAAUAAGGUGAAAAUUCCUUAAUAUUUAAAUUAGACGAGAAGACCCUAGGAGUUUUAAUUUUGUUGGGGCGACAUAACAGCAAAAUAACCUGUUAAUUCUAUAAUUAUUAAACAAAUUUUAUUAAUAUAAAUUAAGCUACCCUAGGGAUAACAGCAUAAUUUUUAAUAAAGUUUGUGACCUCGAUGUUGGACUAGGAAUAAAUUAAUAUUAAUAAUAUUUUUUUGUGUUCUGUUCGAAC
rnacentral:rRNA from 1 species